UUUGUAGUUAAUAAAUCGUAUAAAUCGAAGAUAUGGUUCGAAAGUCUCUACCCCUAUACCAUAAAUUUAGGGACUACGAUUAAAUGGC
rnacentral:ncRNA from 1 species